UACGUAGGGUGCAAGCGUUGUCCGGAAUUAUUGGGCGUAAAGGGCUCGUAGGCGGUCUGUCACGUCGAAAGUGAAAACUCAGGGCUCAACCCUGAGCCUGCUUCCGAUACGGGCAGACUAGAGGUAUGCAGGGGAGAAUGGAAUUCCUGGUGUAGCGGUGAAAUGCGCAGAUAUCAGGAGGAACACCAGUGGCGAAGGCGGUUCUCUGGGCAUUACCUGACGCUGAGGAGCGAAAGUGUGGGGAGCGAACAGG
rnacentral:rRNA from 1 species